rnacentral:rRNA from 1 species
AUACGGAGGGUGCAAGCGUUAAUCGGAAUUACUGGGCGUAAAGGGCGCGUAGGCGGUCUAUCAAGUCAGGUGUGAAAUCCCACGGCUCAACCGUGGAGGUGCAUCUGAAACUGAUAGACUUGAGUAUGGGAGAGGAGAGUGGAAUUCCCGGUGUAGAGGUGAAAUUCGUAGAUAUCGGGAGGAACACCAGUGGCGAAGGCGACUUUCUGGACCAAUACUGACGCUGAGGCGCGAAAGCGUGGGGAGCAAACAGGAUUAGAAACCCUAGUAGUCC